rnacentral:rRNA from 1 species
UAGGGAAUAUUGCAAAAUGGGCGAAAGCCCGAUGCAGCAACACCGCGUGGGCGAUGAAGGCCUUCGGGUCGUAAAGCCCUUUUUGAGGGGAUGAGGAAGGACAGUACCCUCAGAAUAAGCCUCGGCUAACUACGUGCCAGCAGCCGCGGUAAAACGUAGGAGGCGAGCGUUAUCCGGAUUUACUGGGCGUAAAGCGCGUGCAGGCGGAUUGGAGAGUUGGAUGUGAAAGCUCCCGGCUUAACUGGGAGAGGUCGUUCAAUACUUCCAGUCUUGAGUGCAGUAGAGGGAAGUGGAAUUCCGGGUGUAGUGGUGAAAUGCGUAGAUAUCCGGAGGAACACCAGUGGCGAAAGCGGCUUCCUGGACUGUAACUGACGCUCAGACGCGAAAGCUAGGGUAGCAAACG